UCUGGGCACUGGGAAAACUGGCAAGACAGGUCUUCGGAUAGUCAGAUAUUUUCAGAAGAUUUUAUGAGCCAAAUUCUUGCCUUUCCUCAUAUCUAGGAAAUCAUUAAAAUCCCUCAGGGUGGUGUCUGCUCCUCAUGACUAGCAGAAACCUUCACAAGACUAGCAGCAAUCUCGUGUAAAAAUGUGUUCUUGGUUGCAUGUGCUGCCGCCUUCACCAAAAUCGCGUUGUGCAUAUUUUUAAGUCAACAGAAAUAUAUGAUUUACAACUUUUGAAAAUGGCCAAAAAUUUUCAACUCUGUAUGUUAUAGCCGAGAAAAGAGAAAUCCAAAGAAAUGAUAUGACUUGACUGAAGUCUAGUGAUUGCGAUUAUACAUUUUGGAUUAAACAUAUCAGGGUAAGCAUUCUAGUCCUUUGACUUACUAUUUGAUAU
rnacentral:lncRNA from 1 species